AGUAGCCCUAGGAAAAGAAAACAAAAGUGAUUUUCCGAGUAGCGGCGAGCGAAAGGGAAAGAGCCCAAACCACACUUUGGUGUGGGGUUGCGGACCAUCGUAAACAGUAUGGCAUAUAUAGUCGAAUGACUCUGGAAAGGUCAAGCGAAGAGGGUGAAACUCCCGUAGACGAAAUGUAUAAAAUACUAAGAUGGCACCAGAGUAGGGCCGGACACGUGAAACCCGGCUUGAAGCAGGG
rnacentral:rRNA from 1 species